AUGAACGCUGGCGGCGUGCCUAAUACAUGCAAGUCGAGCGAACGGACGAGAAGCUUGCUUCUCUGAUGUUAGCGGCGGACGGGUGAGUAACACGUGGAUAACCUACCUAUAAGACUGGGAUAACUUCGGGAAACCGGAGCUAAUACCGGAUAAUAUUUUGAACCGCAUGGUUCAAAAGUGAAAGACGGUCUUGCUGUCACUUAUAGAUGGAUCCGCGCUGCAUUAGCUAGUUGGUAAGGUAACGGCUUACCAAGGCAACGAUGCAUAGCCGACCUGAGAGGGUGAUCGGCAACAUUGGAACUGAGACACGGUCCAGACGCCUACGGGAGGCAGCAGUAGGGAAUCUUACGCAAUGGGCGAAAGCCUGACGGAGCAACGCCGCGUGAGUGAUGAAGGUCUUCGGAUCGUAAAACUCUGUUAUUAGGGAAGAACAUAUGUGUAAGUAACUGUGCACAUCUUGACGGUACCUAAUCAGAAAGCCACGGCUAACUACGUG
rnacentral:rRNA from 1 species